rnacentral:rRNA from 1 species
AUUGAACGCUGGCGGCAGGCCUAACACAUGCAAGUCGAGCGGAUGAAGGGAGCUUGCUCCUGGAUUCAGCGGCGGACGGGUGAGUAAUGCCUAGGAAUCUGCCUGGUAGUGGGGGAUAACGUCCGGAAACGGGCGCUGAUACCGCAUACGUCCUGAGGGAGAAAGUGGGGGAUCUUCGGACCUCACGCUAUCAGAUGAGCCUAGGUCGGAUUAGCUAGUUGGUGGGGUAAAGGCCUACCAAGGCGACGAUCCGUAACUGGUCUGAGAGGAUGAUCAGUCAAACUUGAAAUGGGAAACGGUCCAGACUCCUAAGGGAGGCAGCAGUGGGGAAUAUUGGACCAUGGGGGAAAGCCUGAUCCAGCCAUGGCGGGUGUGUGAAGAAGGUCUUCGGAUUGUAAAGCAAUUUAAGUUGGGAGGAAGGGCAGUAAGUUAAUACCUUGCUGUUUUGACGUUACCAACAGAAUAAGCACCGGCUAACUUCGUG